ensembl:ncRNA lncRNA:CR44827 long non-coding RNA:CR44827
UUGUUUUUGCUGUUGUCAUGCUGACCAUGUAAACAAUUUAAUUCGCUGGUUGUUAAUGAUAUUUCCUGAUUGUUGUGCAUAAACAAUGCACUACGGUAGUCCAGCUCAACGUAUUUUAAUUUUCUUGUUUACUCUGCGCGCCGCGCCACACACACACUGGCACAAAAUCAAUAAUACUAAACCAAAGUUUUUGCUCUUCCCUUCAACUUGUUGACCGCUUUUUCGUUUUGGCUUAAACGUUUCGGCCGCCUGUCAUGCGAUGAAAGAGCUUUCUGGGCCCAUGUUAUGCGUCGCCACCCAGAAGCUCAAGUUUGCAGGUGCCCACAUAUUCCAUCAUCAUCAUUUCGAUUCGCCACCAUCAUGAUCAUCGACUGGGGCCUCCCGAGAAGCUUCCUCGAUAAGUUGUUGCUGCCACGCAACCUUCUCUGCGAUCCUCCAAUCCUCCGCUCCUCGGCUCCUCCGCUCCUCGGCUCCUCCGCUCCUUGGUCCCAGUAAAGAGGGACAACCCCCAUAUCGAUCAUCAUCAUCGUCAUCGCGAUCGUUGGGAGGCAAAAGGAACAAGGCUUGAAACAACACCCGACCAAAUGAUCAUGAUCGAUGCGAAUGUUGGCAAUAGGAACGCAUCUGAGCAGAGCAGAAGAAGCUGGCCCGAAGGCAAAACGGCGUCUGCGUUUGAUUUGUUUGCUGCUCCUGCUGCCACUGGCCAUUAAAAGUACAAUGACCAGAGAAAAAUAACGUUAUUAAGCCAUCCGCAGGCAGGAAUCGGGGAAAAACCGAACCCGCAAAAAACCCUUCGAAUCGGGAUCAAAACAAAGAGACCGAGAAUUGGCCAAAACUCACACGCAAUCGGAGGACUCCUUGGAUUUAUUGGGUACCCAGCAAAAAAAAAAAAAAAACGAGGGAUAUGGCUGAGACAGUAGGUUCACUUAGUCAUUUAGUAUUAUAAAUAUUUUAAACAAGUGAGAUAACUAUACAACUAUAAUACAAUCGGUAGAUAUCAU